UACAGAGGUCCCAAGCGUUGUUCGGAUUUACUGGGCGUAAAGGGUGCGUAGGUGGCGAGGUAAGUUCGAUGUGAAAUCUCCGAGCUCAACUCGGAAAUGGCAUUGAAUACUAUCCCGCUUGAGGGUCGGAGGGGAGACUGGAAUUCUCGGUGUAGCAGUGAAAUGCGUAGAUAUCGAGAGGAACACCAGUGGCGAAGGCGAGUCUCUGGACGACUCCUGACACUGAGGCACGAAAGCUGGGGGAGCAAACGAGG
rnacentral:rRNA from 1 species